UGGGAGGCACCCAGCGUUCAGCACAUUAGC
rnacentral:piRNA from 1 species